GGGUCCAUAGCUCAGUGGUCAGAGCACUCGGCUCAUAACCGAAUGGUCGCAGGUUCAAAUCCUGCUGGACCCA
rnacentral:tRNA from 1 species